GACGAACGCUGGCGGCGUGCCUAAUACAUGCAAGUUGAGCGCUGAAGGUUGGUACUUGUACCAACUGGAUGAGCAGCGAACGGGUGAGUAACGCGUGGGGAAUCUGCCUUUGAGCGGGGGACAACAUUUGAAACGAAUGCUAAUACCGCAUAAAAACUUUAAACACAAGUUUUAAGUUUGAAAGAUGCAAUUGCAUCACUCAAAGAUGAUCCCGCGUUGUAUUAGCUAGUUGGUGAGGUAAAGGCUCACCAAGGCGAUGAUACAUAGCCGACCUGAGAGGGUGAUCGGCCACAUUGGGACUGAGACACGGCCCAAACUCCUACGGGAGGCAGCAGUAGGGAAUCUUCGGCAAUGGACGAAAGUCUGACCGAGCAACGCCGCGUGAGUGAAGAAGGUUUUCGGAUCGUAAAACUCUGUUGGUAGAGAAGAACGUUGGUGAGAGUGGAAAGCUCAUCAAGUGACGGUAACUACCCAGAAAGGGACGGCUAACUACGUG
rnacentral:rRNA from 1 species